rnacentral:lncRNA from 1 species
GCAUUUCAUUCUAAACACACAAAUAAACAUCACAUUACAUAUAAAAUUUCAAUAUUUUAUACAUACAGUACUCGUAUAUAUAUUGUAUUAUAGUUCGAUAAUGAUAUAUCAAAGCCACCAAAAAGCAUUUAAUUAAUCAUUCAAGAUCAUGCAAUGUACUAAUUUAAUUUUUUUAAGUAUAUAAGCUCUUGACCUGUUUUGAAACAGAACAACAACAAUAAUUAUUGAAUAGACAAGGUUAAAUUAC